GACGAGUCACUACGGUGAUGAAGUAGCUCAUGCCCCGCUUCCAGGAAAAGCCUCUAAGCUCUAGAUUAUCAUUAAUCGUACCCCAAACCGACACAGGUGGUCAGGUAGAGAAUACUCAGGCGCUUGAGAGAACUCGGGUGAAGGAACUAGGCAAAAUGGUGCCGUAACUUCGGGAGAAGGCACGCUGGCGCUAGGUGAAGUGAUUUACUCAUGGAGCUGAAGCCAGUCGCAGAUACCAGCUGGCUGCAACUGUUUAUUAAAAACACAGCACUGUGCAAACACGAAAGUGGACGUAUACGGUGUGACGCCUGCCCGGUGCUGGAAGGUUAAUUGAUGGGGUUAUCCGUAAGGAGAAGCUCUUGAUCGAAGCCCCAGUAAACGGCGGCCGUAACUAUAACGGUCCUAAGGUAGCGAAAUUCCUUGUCGGGUAAGUUCCGACCUGCACGAAUGGCGUAAUGAUGGCCAGGCUGUCUCCACCCGAGACUCAGUGAAAUUGAACUCGCUGUGAAGAUGCAGUGUACCCGCGGCAAGACGGAAAGACCCCGUGAACCUUUACUAUAGCUUGACACUGAACAUUGAGCCUUGAUGUGUAGGAUAGGUGGGAGGCUUUGAAGUGUGGACGCCAGUCUGCAUGGAGCCAACCUUGAAAUACCACCCUUUAAUGUUUGAUGUUCUAACGUAGCCCCGUUAUCCGGGGUGCGGACAGUGUCUGGUGGGUAGUUUGACUGGGGCGGUCUCCUCCCAAAGAGUAACGGAGGAGCACGAAGGUUGGCUAAGCAUGGUCGGACAUCAUGCGGUUAGUGCAAAGGCAUAAGCCAGCUUGACUGCGAGAGUGACGGCUCGAGCAGGUACGAAAGUAGGUCUUAGUGAUCCGGUGGUUCUGAAUGGAAGGGCCAUCGCUCAACGGAUAAAAGGUACUCCGGGGAUAACAGGCUGAUACCGCCCAAGAGUUCAUAUCGACGGCGGUGUUUGGCACCUCGAUGUCGGCUCAUCACAUCCUGGGGCUGAAGUAGGUCCCAAGGGUACGGCUGUUCGCCGUUUAAAGUGGUACGCGAGCUGGGUUUAGAACGUCGUGAGACAGUUCGGUCCCUAUCUGCCGUGGGCGUUGGAAGAUUGAAAGGGGCUGCUCCUAGUACGAGAGGACCGGAGUGGACGCACCACUGGUGUUCGGGUUGUCAUGCCAAUGGCAUUGCCCGGUAGCUAAGUGCGGAAGAGAUAACCGCUGAAAGCAUCUAAGCGGGAAACUUGCCUUGAGAUGAGUCUUCCCUGAC
rnacentral:rRNA from 1 species